GUGUGCAUUAUCUAAUUCUAACUUGCAGAAAUAGGAAUCAGUUGGCUUCCUUUUAUUUCUUCUUUCAAGUGUUCUCUCACAAUUCACAAACGGUCAAACGGAAAUCAACAAAAGCAAAAUCAAUGGCCUUCUCACGGUGGUUCUCUCGAAUGCGCGCAACUUCCAAAACAAUCUUCACACAUCUUCAAACAACCCACACCACCAGCCGUGCAAAUACCGUUUCAAAAGUUACCUCUUCGUCCAACAGAAGAAACCCAUUUCUAUGGUGGUCUUCUUACUUGGUCCCCAUUUCAGCAACUUCUCUUAUGUUGCAGAUUCAACCUACUCCUUCUUUUUCUGACGCUUUUGAUCCUAAUGCUCGAGGUGUUGGCAUAGGUGGCAAAGGAAGCACUGAGUUUGUAGUGAAGGGUUCUCACAGAAGCGUCCCACAAGAGCUCAUCGAUGAUUUGGAGGCUAUAUGUGGGGAAAACAUGACAGUGGAUUAUGAUGAAAGAUUUUUGCAUGGGAAGCCGCAAAACAGCUUUCACAAAGCUGUCAAUAUUCCCGAUGUUGUCGUAUUUCCAAGGUCUGCUCAGGAAGUUUCCUUGAUUGUUAAGUCUUGUAACAAGCAUAAGGUUCCUAUUGUACCUUAUGGUGGAGCUACAUCUAUUGAGGGUCAUACUUUGUCUCCUCAUGGAGGAGUUAGCAUUGACAUGUCCCUAAUGAAAAAUAUUAAAGCAUUACACGUCAAGGAUAUGGAUGUGGUUGUUGAGCCUGGGAUCGGAUGGAUGGAGUUAAAUGAAUACUUGGAACCUUAUGGCUUAUUCUUUCCUCUCGAUCCUGGUCCUGGUGCUACAAUUGGUGGCAUGUGUGCGACUCGUUGCUCUGGUUCAUUAGCUGUGAGGUAUGGGACAAUGCGUGAAAAUGUCAUCAAUUUAAAGGUUGUCCUGGCAAAUGGUGAUGUUGUCAAGACAGGAAAUCGUGCCCGAAAGAGUGCUGCAGGGUAUGAUUUGACCCGGCUGGUGAUUGGAAGUGAAGGAACCUUGGGUGUGAUUACUGAAGUUACUCUACGCCUUCAAAAAAUACCUCAAUACUCAGUGGUUGCAAGGUGCAACUUCCCUACAGUCAAGGAUGCUGCUGAUGUUGCUAUUGCCACUAUGCUGUCUGGUAUACAGGUAUCCAGGGUAGAACUCAUGGAUGAGGUUCAAGUAAGGGCAAUAAAUAUUGCCAAUGGAUCAAAUUUGCCAGAAACACCUACAUUAUUAUUUGAAUUUGUCGGAACAGAAGCAUAUUCACGCGAACAAACUAUGCUGGUUCAGAAGAUUGUCUGUGAGCACAGUGGCUCAGAUUUCAUGUAUGCUGAAGAACCUCAAGCUAAGAAGGAGCUUUGGAAGAUGAGGAAGGAAGCACUCUGGGCCUGCUUUGCAAUGGAACCUGGAUUCGAGGCAAUGAUUUCGGAUGUGUGUGUGCCUUUGUCACAACUUGCAGAGCUGAUUUCGAAGUCCAAGGAAGUGCUGGAUGCCUCUCCGUUAGUAUGCUCUGUUAUUGCCCAUGCUGGUGAUGGAAACUUUCAUACCGUGAUCUUGUUUGAUCCUAACAAAGAAGAACACAGACAAGAAGCUGAGAGGCUGAAUCAAUUCAUGGUCCAGACAGCAUUGUCAAUGGAAGGAACAUGUACGGGAGAACAUGGAGUUGGUACUGGCAAAAUGAAGUACCUCGAACAAGAGCUCGGGAUAGAAAAUUUGAGAACCAUGAAAAGCAUAAAAACAGCUUUGGAUCCUAACAAUAUCAUGAAUCCUGGAAAGCUAAUCCCUCCUCAUGUCUGUUUUUGAGAGUAUUCUCUAUGUUUUACUGCGACUUCUAAUCAUAUGGUGUAUGGUGUACCAUCAUUGUUUUUCUUGCUCAUCAAUGUUUUACUACAUGAGAACUCUUCUACCAAUGCUUCAUAGGCCGAUCUUUUUUAACUCUUAUAUUUAAGAGUUGGUUUUAUAUGAGACCACCUACUUUUUAAUUUAAGAUUAGGCAAUAACGUAAACUCAAUAUUACCUCCGUUUCUUUUUAAUAGUUACACUUUCACUUUUGGCACUAUUCACAAAUCUCUAUUUGACUGUCAUUUGUGAUGUAUGGUUAAGAGAAAAUAUAGUCAUGUGGGGUCUUGUUUGAUUCGUCUCAAUAUGUAUUUUAUAAAAAUAUCGAUUUUUUUAUAUUUUUACAAAUACAAAAUUAGAGAUAUAAAGACUCAAAGUAGCGCAUCAGCAUGCGUGAAACGUGUAAGUGUAACUAUUAAAAAGGAGCGGAUGUAGUAUUAAGAAUAGAAGGGACCAUCUUUUUGAAUAUAGUGACUAGUUCAAUCCAUUUAGAUAUUAUUAUAA